AUGAGCAGCUCCGAUCCGAUCGACCACAUGUCGGUCAGCGAGCGGCUGCAGCGGCUGGCGACGCCGUCGGCCCCGGCGGAGGACGACGUGGACGUGGACGCGGACGGCGACGGUGCGACCUUCCGGGACAUCCACCCGUCUCCGGCGCCGGCGCCGCUGCGGCAGCCCUCCUGGGACGUGGCGAGCCAGCGCUCGCUGUCGUCCUACUCGGACGAGCAGUUCAUGUCCAGCAUGGGCCGCGAGUUCACGGCCAUGGUGGACGCGGGGGGCGCGCCGGCCGACCCUUGCCCCGGCCGGGACUCCGGCGCCGGGAACAACGACCUGCAGCUGGCGCGGAUCGGGGAGCACGAGCCCGUGCCGGAGACGGAGACGAACCCGCUGGCCAUCGUGGCGGACACCGGCCGCCCGCUGCUACCGUCGUCGUCCUCGUGCGCGGCGCCGGCGGCUGCGGAGGUGGUGGAGGUGCGGCAGGUGAAGAAGGAGGAGGCGGAGGCCAAGGUGGCGGCGUGGCAGGCGGAGGAGGUGGCCAAGAUCAACAACAAGUUCAAGCGGGAGGAGGUGGUGAUCAACGGGUGGGAGAACCAGCAGAUCCACACGGCCACCACCUACCUCAGCAAGAUCGAGAGGAAGCUGGAGGAGGAGCGCGCCAAGGCGACGGAGAAGGCGCAGAACGAGGUGGCGCGGGCGCGGCGGAAGGCGGAGGAGAAGCGGGCGUCGGCGGAGGCGGCGCGCGGGACCAAGACGGCCAGGGUCAUGGACCUCGCCAACUUCAUGAAGGCCGUCGGCAGGCUGCCCACCAAGCGCUCCUUCUUCUCCUUCUCCUCCUCCUCCUAA
rnacentral:rRNA from 1 species